rnacentral:rRNA from 1 species
GGGGAAUUUUGGACAAUGGGCGCAAGCCUGAUCCAGCCAUUCCGCGUGCAGGAUGAAGGCCUUCGGGUUGUAAACUGCUUUUGUACGGAACGAAACGGUUCUCUCUAAUACAGGGGGCUAAUGACGGUACCGUAAGAAUAAGCACCGGCUAACUACGUGCCAGCAGCCGCGGUAAUACGUAGGGUGCAAGCGUUAAUCGGAAUUACUGGGCGUAAAGCGUGCGCAGGCGGUUUCGUAAGACAGAGGUGAAAUCCCCGGGCUCAACCUGGGAACUGCCUUUGUGACUGCAAGGCUGGAGUACGGCAGAGGGGGAUGGAAUUCCGCGUGUAGCAGUGAAAUGCGUAGAUAUGCGGAGGAGCACCGAUGGCGAAGGCAAUCCCCUGGGCCUGUACUGACGCUCAUGCACGAAAGCGUGGGGAGCAAAC